CUAAUCUCAAAAGCCCUCUAGAGAUGUCCCAAAGGCAGAUCCUUUUAAGGUGGCGCCUGAUAGAGUCCUGAUAGAGUCGAACUCUAUCAAAAAUUUAAAUUAAAUUUCAGAUUCAAACCAAAAUUUUUCCCUCCAAAUGAGAGAAUAAAUGGUCGACCAAAAAAUAAAAAAAUAUAAAAAAAUCUCAAGCAAAUCUGAAAUUUGCGUGAGGAGAGAAGGGACGUGGACAAUGGGUGGC
rnacentral:lncRNA from 1 species